UACAGCUCAACAGCGGUUCUAGAGCCGCGCCUGGGCGGGAGGGUGGGAGGGGCCUGCCUAGAUAUUUAGCGGCACUGAAGGCCACGCCCCAAGUCGGAAGUGACGGAGCCGAGCUAGCGCGACGAGGCCACCUCUAUGGUCUUCCUCUCCUUCUGGAGUCGGGAAAUGGCCGCUGUGUAGUUACAGCGGAGGUAAAUCCUGAGAAUCGUGCUUCGGCGUGUCAGGAGAAAAGAAAUGGGCCGCUCCAAUUCUAGAUCACAUUCUUCAAGAUCCAAGUCUAGAUCACAGUCUAGUUCUAGAUCAAGAUCAAGAUCACAUUCUAGAAAGAAGAGAUACAGUUCUAGGUCUCGUUCCAGAACAUAUUCAAGGUCUCGUAGUAGAGAUCGUAUUUAUUCUAGAGAUUAUCGUCGGGAUUACAGGAAUAAUAGAGGAAUGAGACGACCUUAUGGGUACAGAGGAAGGGGUAGAGGGUAUUAUCAAGGAGGAGGAGGU
rnacentral:lncRNA from 1 species